AAGCAGCCUGGAGCAGAAGGAGUCUCAAAUGCACGGGCACCACUUGCACUGCAGCUGAGGAUCCCCAGACAGCAGCAUCCCCACCCCCAGGUGGUAUGCUCUGGGGCAAUAGGAAUGGCUGGGUUACAGCACUAAAGCACAUUCUGUUUCUAGGGGAGCAUGGCAACAGAGCCCCAGCUGUCAGGCCAUUCUCCCUAUCUCAGCAUGUUCUAGCGAUUAUUGAGAACUACAAGUAAGAAGGGCGCUGGGGGAAGGUCAGUUUGAUGCUUUCUGGAGAGCUAUCCUUCCAAGGUGGAGGAUCCUAUCUUGGAUACCACAUUACCUUAAACGCUGCCUCAGCCAGGUGAUCAAGGUCAACGUCUACUGUGAGCACCAGGAAGAAGGAAGUAGACAGAAGCCACAGCUGCAUGGGGAAAGAAGAUCUGGAUGCAGAGUCCUGGGCACCCUGCUCCUGCGGCACUGAAGUCCAUGGCAGCAGUGUCUGGGUCCACACUGAGACUACGCAUCACCUGCUCCCUGGUGUAUCUUUCCCAUGUCUUCAACCUUCUGUUAUACUUUUCAAGCUCUCUUUUCCUUUUUCUCUACUUCUCUUUUAAUUUACUUUUCAACUUCCCCUACUCUUUCCUCUCUAUUGUCCAGUUGUGGCAGAUGGUUAAAACUGUCAUUUUGCCCAUGGAUUUGCUCACUGAUUCUGGUUUCUUUUCCAAUUUAUUUUUAAAAUUUCAAUUAUUUUGGGGGUACAGGUGGUUUGUCUUUACAUGGUUGUUGGUUUAUUAAAUAGAGUGCCCUUUUCCCAAUGUAUGUUUUUGUAUGCUU